CGACAUAUUAAAGUCAUACACUAUCGUCGAGCAUCGUUAGUCCUCUAUUUGAACACGGAGAUUCGCGCUGAAUACGAUCGCGGGGAAAUUAAACGGAAACGUGUGACACGUCGGACUAGACUAGACAAUGGAGUAGCGAAAAAAUUGGGGACUGUAGAGGAAAAACACCAAAAGUCACAUUUCUUCUUUUUACAGAAAAGCAGUUUUAAGAUUUGCCAUGUUGUCAAUUUAUUUCAUAUUACCAAAAUUGCCUUUGUAUUUGGUUUUCAGACUAAACUUUUUCCCGUCAUGACGUUAUUGGUGCAAUAAAUGCUGUUUCUUCGACAGUUUUCAUUUAACGAUAUCUGCGGAAAAAGAACGGAUCGUGAAAUUGCAGCGAAUCAUUCAAGAAACGCGCCAGGAUUUGCAAACGUGAACGUUGAAGAAACGACGAGAGGAAAACCGAUCGUUAGAGCAAACCGAGAAGACUUACUUAACGAUCAUUAUAUUUUCAAACGCUGCUUUCACUUGUCGCCAUUAGGCAUCGAUGAUGUUCCUAACAUUGCCUAACAAACUCGAACGGACCAUAUAUCUCUUCCACGUCGAUCGCUAUACGUUGCGUCUCGUAACCACAAAGCCGCCCUUCCUAAAAUUUUCAAUUUUUAUACAGGUUAGCACGCGUCUCAGCACUCUCUUUGUCUCACCAUCUUCUUUACCACAC